ACUCAAAUGAAUUGACGGGGGCCCGCACAAGUGGUGGAGCAUGUGGUUUAAUUCGAAGCAACGCGAAGAACCUUACCAGGUCUUGACAUCCUCUGACAACCCUAGAGAUAGGGCUUUCCCUUCGGGGACAGAGUGACAGGUGGUGCAUGGUUGUCGUCAGCUCGUGUCGUGAGAUGUUGGGUUAAGUCCCGCAACGAGCGCAACCCUUGAUCUUAGUUGCCAGCAUUUAGUUGGGCACUCUAAGGUGACUGCCGGUGACAAACCGGAGGAAGGUGGGGAUGACGUCAAAUCAUCAUGCCCCUUAUGACCUGGGCUACACACGUGCUACAAUGGAUAGUACAAAGGGUUGCAAGACCGCGAGGUGGAGCUAAUCCCAUAAAACUAUUCUCAGUUCGGAUUGUAGGCUGCAACUCGCCUACAUGAAGCCGGAAUCACUAGUAAUCGCGGAUCAGCAUGCCGCGGUGAAUACGUUCCCGGGCCUUGUACACACCGCCCGU
rnacentral:rRNA from 1 species